rfam:Schistosoma curassoni strain Dakar, Senegal genome assembly, scaffold: SCTD_scaffold0003917
GUUAAGGCUCUUUUUAGGGCCACUCACAAAUUGAUUUAAGUCAUUU